rnacentral:lncRNA from 1 species
UCACAAUCAUUUUGUUUUGUGGAUUUCGUUCUCCAUCCUUUUUUGUGCCAUUGAAGCUUCCAGGUUCAUCGUGUUCAAACAAGCUUGCCCUGGGCUUGUCAACACGGUUACCGCAUCGUGGAUGUCGCCCUGAUGGCUAUCUGAGGGUGGCAAUUGGGUCAGGUUGAUUCGCCGACCCAACGGAUCGAUUUGAACUGGUUUCAUGUGUUGGACACUUUGGGUCAGGUCCGCACAGGAGUUUAACGGGUUGGAUCCAGGUCAAGCUUGAUUCAACUUAAGCCUACCC